UGGGGGAUAUUGCACAAUGGGGGAAACCCUGAUACAGCAACGCCGCGUGAAGGAAGAAGGUCUUCGGAUUGUAAACUUUUGUCUUUAGGGAAGAAACAAAUGACGGUACCUAAGGAGGAAGCCACGGCUAACUACGUGCCAGCAGCCGCGGUAAUACGUAGGUGGCAAGCGUUGUCCGGAUUUACUGGGUGUAAAGGGCGUGUAGACGGGACUGCAAGUCAGAUGUGAAAUUUAUGGGCUCAACCCAUAACCUGCAUUUGAAACUGUGGUUCUUGAGUGAUGGAGAGGUAAGCGGAAUUCCUAGUGUAGCGGUGAAAUGCGUAGAUAUUAGGAGGAACACCGGUGGCGAAGGCGGCUUACUGGACAUUAACUGACGUUGAGGCGCGAAAGUGUGGGGAGCAAACAGGAUUAGAUACCC
rnacentral:rRNA from 1 species